rnacentral:rRNA from 1 species
CCCCAUGGAGCUUCAAACCCAACUACACCCUUAACUACCACAACCGCACAACCUCUUAGGGCCCUGUAUAGUUGGUUUUAGGUUGGGGCGACCACGGAGUACAACCAAACCUCCGCAAUGGACGGGACCACUCCCUUAUCUAAGAGCCACACCUCUAAGAAUUAAAACACUAACAUAAAAUGAUCCAUGAUCUGAUCAAUGAACCAAGUUACCCUGGGGAUAACAGCGCAAUCCAUUUCAAGAGCCCUUAUCGACAAGUGGGUUUACGACCUCGAUGUUGGAUCAGGGUAUCCUAGUGGUGCAGCAGCUACUAAUGGUUCGUUUGUUCAACGAUUAAAACCCU